GGAGCGGCCGGGCCGGGCCGGGCCGGGCCGAGCCGAGGCGGCCGGGAGGAGCCGCGGCGGGAGACCCCCUCGGGGGGUUUUUACCGUUAACGGUAGAAGAUAAUCUUGUCUUCUACAGUCACAGAUCACUCUCCUUUGUGUGUUUGGAUUUGCUAUAGGACAUACGAAAACUGUCAGCCAAUGAUAUGCUGCUUCUGUGCCUGCAUCCAUGGAAUUCAGGCAGGAAAGUCAUGGCUCCUCUCCUUCAGGUUCUGGGUUCAUUGUCACCAUGAACCUCUAUCAGUCUGGAUCUGCAAAGAUUUGAAGUGCACAGAAGUUACCUCUUGCAGAUCGAGUUAAGAUCUAUGAAGGCUAAAGACUCAAGUGAAUAUUCAUACGGAUAUUUUUUGUGUACUUCUUGAUAAAGGAGAGCUUCGUAUGUGAUUGAAGUAUGGCAUAUAAUAUUUUCUCUUUUAUUUACUCAAAUGAUGUAUUUUUUGCACUUACUAGAUAUGCACAUUCCAGGCUUAUUGGAGAAGAUAACACGUUUUGUUAAGCUGCUGUAAGCCCCUCUUCAUGUGUAUGACGUACUGACGGUGUAGCCUUAACUUGCCCCCCCCCCGACCAGUAGGAUUGCUGUCUUUUAUCAAGCCAUUUCUGGACACACUAGAAUAACAUGGCUUCUGUCAUGGCGUGGGAUGUGUUCUAAGUAUUUCAUGUGAGUAGGCUAUUGGGAAGAUCCUGCUAUUUUUGAGCUUGUGGACCAAGUUCUGUUUUGUUAGAUUUGACCAAUUUGCAGACAGUUGGAACCCUGAUCAUAUGUCAUGCUGGGCAGCAGACAGCUCUUUCCAGUUCCUGGAUUAUUUGGAGAAGAAUGCAGUGGAGAGUAACCCUAUUCCUCAGACAUAUUGGACAUCUUGAGAGUACUGAUAAAUCUAGGUUUCAUUGCAGUGGUGAGACAGGUGCAAUUCAUUGCAGUUUUUGCAGCUACUCUGCAGCUAGUUCAGACUUCUUGAAAGUUUUUCUAAACACAUAGAAUUGAGUCCAUUGAAAUUACUAGGACAUUUGCAUAUCCAUGAAAUGCAGAAUUCCACGAUCUGUGAAGCUCUCUAAUUUUCAUAUAUUGCUAUGCUGCUGAGUUAAUUAAAAAAUAAUCUGAGUGAUCAGAUAUGCUGAUUCACAUGAAAGUGCUCUAAAUUUCUGUUUAAGCUUGGUAGAAAAAAAUUACAAAUGAAUUCCAUAUUAACUGAUCUGUAUGCAUUUAAAGCAUCUAAGCCAAGAGCAACUCUUCUCUGAAAUAAUGAUCUUCCUUCUCCUAGUGCCCCAUUCAGGAGACGUUCUUCUGUUUUUUUUUUUUUCCUUUAUUUCCUCUUUUUUCCUAAAAAGCAUGAAUUGCCUUACUGCAGCCCCUCACCUGGGUAAGGAGAAUGGAUUGAAAAAAAAGCAUUUCCUGUAUUACAUCCUGUUGGUUGUAGUGGGCACAACUACAAAUUCCCAGUUCACAAGGUUUUGCCAUGAAUCUAACGAUAUUUGGUGCAUUAACUUAAAGUCUUAGAUUUGGGAUUGAUUUGACUAUGUAAGAAUCUUCUUUCAGGUAAACGUGUUUAGAUCUGAUGAGUUCUGAAAAGAGUUUAUGAAGAGCUUUGAAUUCACCAAAGUAGUGCUGAAAUCAGGAGACAAAUGAAACAAGUUGUAUCAGUCUCAUAUAUAGAGAAAAGAAAAAUGUAUGUAUAUAUAAAAUAAAAAUCUCUUUCAAA